ACAAAAAUUCGACAGAGGAGAAAAGGGAGACAUAACGUCAAAAGCUGAGAGAAAAUUUGGGAAAAAGAAAAAGAAUAAAAAUUAAAUAAAAUCUAAUUAAAAACCUACUAAUAUCCUAACUCCCCACUAAUUCACCUCCAACUACCCUAGAAUCCCAGAAGCACCGAAACUCUACUAUGCAACUGAGCCAAAAAUGAUACCCACGCUCGGGCAGGAAUUCGAACACAAGAUC
rnacentral:lncRNA from 1 species